rnacentral:rRNA from 1 species
AGCGUUCUAAGGGCGUCGAAGCAUGAUCGCAAGGACAUGUGGAGCGCUUAGAAGUGAGAAUGCCGGUGUGAGUAGCGAAAGACGGGUGAGAAUCCCGUCCACCGAUUGACUAAGGUUUCCAGAGGAAGGCUCGUCCGCUCUGGGUUAGUCGGGUCCUAAGCUGAGGCCGACAGGCGUAGGCGAUGGAUAACAGGUUGAUAUUCCUGUACCACCUAGUAUCGUUUUAAUCGAUGGGGGGACGCAGUAGGAUAGGCGAAGCGUGCUGUUGGAGUGCACGUCCAAGCAGUAAGGCUGAGUGUUAGGCAAAUCCGGCACUCAUAAGGCUGAGCUGUGAUGGGGAGAGGAAAUUGUUUCCUCGAGUCGUUGAUUUCACACUGCCGAGAAAAGCCUCUAGAUAGAUAACAGGUGCCCGUACCGCAAACCGACACAGGUAGUCAAGAUGAGAAUUCUAAGGUGAGCGAGCGAACUCUCGUUAAGGAACUCGGCAAAAUGACCCCGUAACUUCGGGAGAAGGGGUGCUCUUUAGGGUUCACGCCCAGAAGAGCCGCAGUGAAUAGGCCCAAGCGACUGUUUAUCAAAAACACAGGUCUCUGCUAAACCGUAAGGUGAUGUAUAGGGGCUGACGCCUGCCCGGUGCUGGAAGGUUAAGAGGAGUGGUUAGCUUCUGCGAAGCUACGAAUCGAAGCCCCAGUAAACGGCGGCCGUAACUAUAACGGUCCUAAGGUAGCGAAAUUCCUUGUCGGGUAAGUUCCGACCCGCACGAAAGGCGUAACGAUUUGGGCACUGUCUCAACGAGAGACUCGGUGAAAUCAUAGUACCUGUGAAGAUGCAGGUUACCCGCGACAGGACGGAAAGACCCCGUGGAGCUUUACUGUAGCCUGAUAUUGAAAUUCGGCACAGCUUGUACAGGAUAGGUAGGAGCCUUUGAAACGUGAGCGCUAGCUUACGUGGAGGCGUUGGUGGGAUACUACCCUAGCUGUGUUGGCUUUCUAACCCGCACCACUUAUCGUGGUGGGAGACAGUGUCAGGCGGGCAGUUUGACUGGGGCGGUCGCCUCCUAAAAGGUAACGGAGGCGCUCAAAGGUUCCCUCAGAAUGGUUGGAAAUCAUUCAUAGAGUGUAAAGGCAUAAGGGAGCUUGACUGCGAGACCUACAAGUCGAGCAGGGUCGAAAGACGGACUUAGUGAUCCGGUGGUUCCGCAUGGAAGGGCCAUCGCUCAACGGAUAAAAGCUACCCCGGGGAUAACAGGCUUAUCUCCCCCAAGAGUUCACAUCGACGGGGAGGUUUGGCACCUCGAUGUCGGCUCAUCGCAUCCUGGGGCUGUAGUCGGUCCCAAGGGUUGGGCUGUUCGCCCAUUAAAGCGGUACGCGAGCUGGGUUCAGAACGUCGUGAGACAGUUCGGUCCCUAUCCGUCGUGGGCGUAGGAAAUUUGAGAGGAGCUGUCCUUAGUACGAGAGGACCGGGAUGGACAUACCUCUGGUGUACCAGUUGUCGUGCCAACGGCAUAGCUGGGUAGCUAUGUAUGGACGGGAUAAGUGCUGAAAGCAUCUAAGCAUGAAGCCCCCCUCAAGAUGAGAUUUCCCAACUUCGGUUAUAAGAUCCCUCGAAGAUGACGAGGUUAAUAGGUUCGAGGUGGAAGCGUGGUGACACGUGGAGCUGACGAAUACUAAUCGAUCGAAGACUUAAUCAAUUUUUAAA